rnacentral:rRNA from 1 species
AUACGUAGGGGGCAAGCGUUGUCCGGAAUUACGGGGCGUAAAGAGCUCGUAGGCGGCUCAGCAAGUCGGUCGUGAAAGCCCGAGGCUCAACCUCGGAACUGCGGUCGAUACUGCUGUGGCUAGAGUCCGGUAGAGGAGAGUGGAAUUCCCGGUGUAGCGGUGGAAUGCGCAGAUAUCGGGAGGAACACCAGUGGCGAAGGCGGCUCUCUGGGCCGGUACUGACGCUGAGGAGCGAAAGCGUGGGGAGCAAACAGGAUUAGAAACCCUAGUAGUCC